CGCCUCCUGCGUUCUUUUCUCGCCCGGCGUGGGAGGCGGCGUAGCUCUCCAACGAUUGCGGCUCUUUUGCAAGCAGGCCAGCGGCGGGAGAGGGGAAGAUGGCGGGGCGCAAGAAGAAGCUGGCGGGCGAAAGGGAACGAAAGCCCAGCCCUCCUGCAGGAUGCCCAGCAGCGAAGGGAAGGCAGGCGGAGGCCUUGCCCGUGAAGGGUAGAUAUUCAGCGCGCAGGGUACAGACCUAAGGGAUAGCUUGUCUGCUUACAAAAAUGCCCUGCGAUGAAAUGGUUGGUGUUUUGCAGAAGUGAUUCUGCUGAAUGAGAGGAAUGUAAGGUCUGAAGCAGUAGCUGUUCCUUCUGUUAGAAAACAAUGAAAAAAAAGACAUGAUCGUUAAAGUGACUUGUGGCUGACUUCCUGGAAGAAUUAAUCUUGUGACGUCCAAUUUAGCCUGAAAAGAUGUGGCUUCAAAUUCAUACUUGACUGUUGUGGCCCCGCCCUCUGAGCCUAUCUCAUCGGAGGAAGAAAGCUCCGAACAUGAGGAAGAGGAGUCAGCCAGGCCUCCCUCUCUAGGCCCCUCCUCUCUGGCACUGUCUCAGGUGCCGGGAGAGGAGAUUAGCCAGGAGCCAGGUGUCUCGGAUGAGAGCGAAGGAGAGCUGUCAUUCCUGGAUGCACGCCAACGAAGGCGUGAUAAACGAUUGCAGCAGUUGAGGAGGCGUGCUAGGGAUUAGAACUGAGUCACCCCAGAGACUAUAUAAGAGAGGGUGGUGGCUGGUAAAACUCCAUGACGAACAAAAAUGAACUUUGGCUAGUCACUUGAACAACGUCUGAAGCUGCCGAAAGGAAUAUUGUUUUGCUGGACUAUUUGCAAUGCGUAUGUAAUGUUAUGUUAUCUGUUGCAGUAAAAGCUCUUGGCAGACGGUGAUUAUAUUGCUGCCAAAUUUGAGAUAACAA